AUUGAACGCUGGCGGCAUGCCUUACACAUGCAAGUCGAACGGCAGCACGGGAGCAAUCCUGGUGGCGAGUGGCGAACGGGUGAGUAAUAUAUCGGAACGUGCCCAGUCGUGGGGGAUAACGUAGCGAAAGCUACGCUAAUACCGCAUACGAUCUACGGAUGAAAGCGGGGGAUCGCAAGACCUCGCGCGAUUGGAGCGGCCGAUAUCAGAUUAGCUAGUUGGUGGGGUAAAAGCUCACCAAGGCGACGAUCUGUAGCUGGUCUGAGAGGACGACCAGCCACACUGGAACUGAGACACGGUCCAGACUCCUACGGGAGGCAGCAGUGGGGAAUUUUGGACAAUGGGCGCAAGCCUGAUCCAGCAAUGCCGCGUGCAGGAUGAAGGCCUCGGUUGUAAACUGCUUUGUACGGUACGAAAGACCUCUUCUAAUACAGGAGGUCGAUGACGGUACCGUAACGAAUAAGACACCGGCUAACUACGUGUCCACG
rnacentral:rRNA from 1 species